rnacentral:rRNA from 1 species
UACGUAGGGGGCUAGCGUUGUCCGGAUUUAUUGGGCGUAAAGAGCGCGUAGGCGGCCCAGUAAGUCCGCUCUGAAAGUCAGGGGCUCAACCCCUGAAUGCGGGUGGAUACUGUCGGGCUGAGAUGUCCGGAAGAGGCGAGUGGAAUUCCUGGUGUAGCGGUGAAAUGCGCAGAUAUCAGGAGGAACACCGAUGGCGAAGGCAGCUCGUGG